AUUGAACGCUGGCGGCAGGCCUAACACAUGCAAGUCGAACGAGUAGCGGGCGGGUGAGUAAUGUCUGGGAACCUUCCCGAUGGAGAGGGAUACCUACUGGAAACGGUCGCUACUACCGCAUACCGUCGGCUUUGCCCAGAUGGGAUUAGCUAGUAGGUGGGGUAACACCGCACCUAGGCGACGUUCCCUAGCUGGUCUGAUAGGAUGACCCGCCACACUGGGACUGAGACGCGGUUCGGACUCCUACGGGAGGCAGCGGUGGGGAAAAUUGCGCAAGGGGAGCAAGCCUGAAGCAGCCCUGACGCGUGUAUGAAGAAGGCCCUCGGGUGGUAAAGUACUUUCAGCGAGGAGGCGGUACUCGCAGAAGAAGCACCGGCUAACUCCUUGCCAGCAGCCGCGGUAAUAC
rnacentral:rRNA from 1 species